rnacentral:RNase_P_RNA from 1 species
UCAGACGGUCGGAUGGCCGCCCCCUGGCAAGCAGCGGACGUGGUUCGCGAGGCUACCAGGCGGGAGGAAAGUCCGGGCUCCACGGAAAUACGGUGCCGGGUAACGCCCGGCGGGGGCGACCCCAGGGAAAGUGCCACAGAAAGCAAACCACCUGCCGGGGUCCGACCGCAUAUGGGAUUUCAUGGGACACCCCUAUGGGAUUUCAUGGGACGGGCCUGCAGGCCAGGAUGAAAGGGUGCGGUAAGAGCGCACCGCGCGCACGGCGACGUGAGCGGCAAGGUAAACCCCACCGGGAGCAAAACUAUGUAGGGACGGUAGGUUUCUGUUGGCUUGUCCGACAGGAAUCAGGCGGAUUUUCGCGUCGCCGUCCGGGUAAGUUGCGCGAGGCGCCCGGCAACGGGCGUCCCAGAUGAAUGGCCAUCCAUCCGCGGAAACGCGGGGGACAGAACCCGGCUUACAGAUCGUCUGACACC